GUGCUCAUUUCAGCAGCACAUAUACUAAAUUUAGAACAAUACAGAGACAAUUGGCGUGGCCCCUGAGCAAGGGUGACAUGCAAAUUCAUGAAGCAGUCCACAUUUUU